rnacentral:rRNA from 1 species
ACGGAGGGGGCUAGCGUUGUCCGAAGUUACUGGGCGUAAAGCGCGCGUAGGCGGGUUGGUAAGUCCGCUGUGAAAGCCCGGAGCUUAACUCCGGAGGGUCGGUGGAUACUGCCAGUCUUGAAGGUGCUAGGGGGAGAUGGAAUUACCGGUGUAGCGGUGAAAUGCGUAGAUAUCGGUAGGAACACCAGUGGCGAAGGCGGUCUCCUGGGGCAUUCUUGACGCUGAGGCGCGAAAGCCAGGGGAGCAAACGGGA